GCAAGGCUGCUAGCCGGCGCGGAACGUAGCGGCGCUGCAUUUCAGGAACCGUCGUUGACGGCGUCAUCGCAUCUCUAUCGUAGUUGAGUCGUUGCGUUCUAACGAUCAUAUUCCCUCGAGAGAGAGCAACCGAACGGAGUAGGACCGUGUCCUCUAAAGGCACACGUUGGUACCGUCAACGUGACGGGUGCUGUGUGCGCGCGUAUUUAUUUGAUUUGUAUGACCAUUGACAAUGACCACGACCAUGGAGGACUAUUAUGACGGUUCCCGGACAUUUUCCUGGCUCGCUGAUUUCAUCGACGUGCCGAUCGAUCAGAGCUGCGUGAGAUGCGUGAACGUCAUCGAUUGGAAGCAGUGCAAUUCGAUGCAAGGAACGUAUAAGUAGAAGUGGGUUUAUCGUGUGUUGAGCUCACAGCUUGAUCGCUACAUUUUUCCAAUUGCACUUUUAAUUAAUUCGGUGAAUUUCCAUGAGUCGUCGAUUCAUUCAUUUAUGAUAUUGAUCAUUGAUACUGAAUGAAUUUUAAUACAAUACAAGUAAUAGAGCCGGAACCAUUUUUCACAAUUGAACUGAUAUUCUUAGUGAAAUUGUACAAGUUAGAAAUUAUAAGCUUUUUAAGUUUAAUUUUCCAGUAUUAACUUUUCAAAGUUAUUAUCGGAAGAAAUUUAUGCCAUUACAUAUGCCACACCAUUACAUUUUUUUAUUCUAGAAAUUAAUAAAGUUAAACAAAUUCAAUUAAAUCUUUUUAUUAUUAUUUAAUAAUAAGCGAACGAUAGGAAAGUUAUUAUUGUUAAUGGUUACAAAUAACAUCGAAACAAAAUCUGGAUGGAAAGAAAUUUUACGAGUUGUAUAACAGUAAAAUGAGUUUAAUAAUGAAGCAAAUGAAUAUUUGCAAGUAAAUCUUACAAAUUACAAGUCAUUUAAUUAUUAUAUUUAAUCAUCACAAAAAUAUAAUCACAAAAUAGAAAUCUAUCACUUGUAACUCUUUAAUUUAACUUGACAUAAUUUGUAACUUGUUAAUUUACUAAUAUUGUUAUAUAGUUGAUGAAUUAUCGAGCGAAGGACGGUUCAUUUUCAUCCUUUCACGAUUCGGUAAAAAUUAUUAUUAGUAAUUUCUAUUACUUUCACCAACAAGAGUAUAAUCAUAUACAAACUUUUCCUUUUUAACGAAAGAUAAAUAUCUUUGGAUUUUUGUUUAACAUAGCGUAACAGCAUUAUCCUUCAGUGAUUUUUUUUUUUAAAUUAUAACAAAAGUAUACUUGAGAGGACUCUUAAGAAAGGAAAUCUCUUGUUCUCAGUGUUAAAUUAUAAGGCCCAUUUCAUUUUGUCACCUGAAAGUAUAUAUCUUUUUACUUAUUGGUUAUCGUACAACCAGUAGCUGAAAGUAGAGUACAAGAAGGCCCAGAACUAUUUUCAAUUAUUAUAAAAGAAUUUCAAAGAACUAUGUUUAAAUACACCGAACAUACUAUUCGUGCAAGGCUAAUAUAAAAAGAGGAGAAAGAAAGGAGCAAAUAAGAAAUAUGCAAUUGUUUUUCCGCAACUAUUUGGUAACUAUGCAAUAAUGAUUGUAUAUGAUUCAUUCGCUAUCGGCUAACAAUGAGCUCAACAAGGUGACCCUGUUUCGUAGUUGCUAAUUCUACUGAUUCGUUCUCAAUGUAGCGAGGAACAGGAUUUAACUUCAGUGUUUGUGUGGAGGUGUGAUCGAGGAACUGUUAUAUAACACGCUCUACGAUCGUGUUCUUGCUAAAGAAUACAUAGCGAACUAAGGUUGUAAAUGUUACAACGCGUCUAGAAAAAUGCAGAAGAGAACCCGACCGUUCUCUAUUUUCGGAAGCAACGUGAGUUGGUUCCCGUUUCGUUUCUAUAAACUUUUAGUCAUCCACAAAAAGACGACGUUCUUUAGGUGUUCCGUUAUUGUACAUAAAAUUAGGUAUUAGCGAUGCUCCGAAAAACAUGUUCAUCCGGUUUGGUUUAUAGUCUCUUUCUUCAUCCAAGACCGUAUCACGAAUAUUACGCGAGCAUAUAUUUGUAUCCAGAAACAUCUUUUUUAUCAUUUCCCGAUAUCGUUUUCUCAGAAAAUACGUUAUAUUGAAAAAAGAUUUCUUCCUUUGAUACCAGCGAUAUUUGAACAAUUUUAGUCACAGUUGUUAAAUACUGAAUAUCCUAAAUUAAGAUUCCUUUAGCUGAUAUCGAUAAUUUGUCUCGAAUGAUU